GUCUUUUUGAGUUUAAUUUAAAGUCUAAUCUGCCCACUGAUAAUUAUUUAAGGGCCGCAGUAUUUUGACUGUGCAAAGGUAGCAUAAUCAUUAGUCUUUUAAUUGAGGGCUUGUAUGAAUGAUUGGACGAGAUAUAAUCUGUCUCAUAAAAAUUUUUGUAGAAUUUUAUUUUUUAGUUAAAAAGCUAAAAUGUAUUUAAAAGACGAGAAGACCCUAUAGAUCUUUAUAAUUUGUUUAUAGUUUUUUUAUGGUUAUUUUUUAAAUUUAUAAAUUAAAUUAUUUUGUUGGGGUGACAAUGAAAUUUAAUUAACUUUCAUUAUUUUAUAAACAUUGAUUUAUGAAUAGUUGAUCCAUUAUUAAUGAUUAAAAAUUUAAGUUACCUUAGGGAUAACAGCGUAAUUAUUUUGGAGAGUUCUUAUCGAUAAAAUAGUUUGCGACCUCGAUGUUGGAUUAAGAUUAAUUCUGGGUGUAGCAGUUCAGGUUAUUAAGUCUGUUCGACUUUUAAUUUCUU
rnacentral:rRNA from 1 species